rnacentral:rRNA from 1 species
CGAAUGCUGACAUAAGUAACGAUAAAGCGGGUGAAAAGCCCGCUCGCCGGAAGACCAAGGGUUCCUGUCCAACGUUAAUCGGGGCAGGGUGAGUCGACCCCUAAGGCGAGGCCGAAAGGCGUAGUCGAUGGGAAACAGGUUAAUAUUCCUGUACUUGGUGUUACUGCGAAGGGGGGACGGAGAAGGCUAUGUUGGCCGGGCGACGGUUGUCCCGGUUUAAGCGUGUAGGCUGGUUUUCCAGGCAAAUCCGGAAAAUCAAGGCUGAGGCGUGAUGACGAGGCACUACGGUGCUGAAGCAACAAAUGCCCUGCUUCCAGGAAAAGCCUCUAAGCAUCAGGUAACAUCAAAUCGUACCCCAAACCGACACAGGUGGUCAGGUAGAGAAUACCAAGGCGCUUGAGAGAACUCGGGUGAAGGAACUAGGCAAAAUGGUGCCGUAACUUCGGGAGAAGGCACGCUGAUAUGUAGGUGAAGCGACUUGCUCGUGGAGCUGAAAUCAGUCGAAGAUACCAGCUGGCUGCAACUGUUUAUUAAAAACACAGCACUGUGCAAACACGAAAGUGGACGUAUACGGUGUGACGCCUGCCCGGUGCCGGAAGGUUAAUUGAUGGGGUUAGCGCAAGCGAAGCUCUUGAUCGAAGCCCCGGUAAACGGCGGCCGUAACUAUAACGGUCCUAAGGUAGCGAAAUUCCUUGUCGGGUAAGUUCCGACCUGCACGAAUGGCGUAAUGAUGGCCAGGCUGUCUCCACCCGAGACUCAGUGAAAUUGAACUCGCUGUGAAGAUGCAGUGUACCCGCGGCAAGACGGAAAGACCCCGUGAACCUUUACUAUAGCUUGACACUGAACAUUGAGCCUUGAUGUGUAGGAUAGGUGGGAGGCUUUGAAGUGUGGACGCCAGUCUGCAUGGAGCCGACCUUGAAAUACCACCCUUUAAUGUUUGAUGUUCUAACGUUGACCCGUAAUCCGGGUUGCGGACAGUGUCUGGUGGGUAGUUUGACUGGGGCGGUCUCCUCCUAAAGAGUAACGGAGGAGCACGAAGGUUGGCUAAUCCUGGUCGGACAUCAGGAGGUUAGUGCAAUGGCAUAAGCCAGCUUGACUGCGAGCGUGACGGCGCGAGCAGGUGCGAAAGCAGGUCAUAGUGAUCCGGUGGUUCUGAAUGGAAGGGCCAUCGCUCAACGGAUAAAAGGUACUCCGGGGAUAACAGGCUGAUACCGCCCAAGAGUUCAUAUCGACGGCGGUGUUUGGCACCUCGAUGUCGGCUCAUCACAUCCUGGGGCUGAAGUAGGUCCCAAGGGUAUGGCUGUUCGCCAUUUAAAGUGGUACGCGAGCUGGGUUUAGAACGUCGUGAGACAGUUCGGUCCCUAUCUGCCGUGGGCGCUGGAGAACUGAGGGGGGCUGCUCCUAGUACGAGAGGACCGGAGUGGACGCAUCACUGGUGUUCGGGUUGUCAUGCCAAUGGCACUGCCCGGUAGCUAAAUGCGGAAGAGAUAAGUGCUGAAAGCAUCUAAGCACGAAACUUGCCCCGAGAUGAGUUCUCCCUGACUCCUUGAGAGUCCUGAAG